AAAAAGUUCCACAGAGACUCAUGAGGACACAGAUAACCAGCAGCGCAACACUAACCAGCAACAAGUGAUACCUGCACAAGGCUUUUUCAUCCUAGUCGAGCAAUACAGAAGAGAGAGAGGCUGCUUUGAAACCAGCUUUACAUUGUUCAAAAUACAGGUUCCAGAGGGUUAUGACAUAGAAGAACCAUUUUUUGGGUUCUCUUUAGAACCUUUUGAUGAACAGUUCUUAAAAAACAAAACAAAUGUUCUUAGUGUGAAGAACAUUUUAAUGAAUUAAAAUCCUUUUGAGGAAUUAAAAGAUUCUACAUUCUUAAUUAAAGGUUCUUUACUGGUAUCUGUGGUUCUAUGAAGAACCUCGAACACCCAGGGGACUUUUCUAUUCCACAAAUGGUUUAAAAUGUUCAUCACACUUUGAAAAAGAAUAAAAAUAAAUAUGUUCUUUCCAAAA